CUCUUUGCUACCCGAGCGUGUUCUUCAAUCCUGACCUGUUUUCCCUAGGAACCAACAAUGCGACAACAUACAAUGUAUGUGGAACGCCUGCCUGCAUCCAACGAGCACUCCUUAUCAAGGACUCCAUGAACACGUCCAUUGACCCAUGCACUGAUUUCUACUCAUACGCCUGCGGCGGCUGGAUGUCAAAGCACAACAUACCAGAGAGCCAAUCGACAACGAGCAGUUUCUCCCUCCUGGACGACAAACUACGGGAAACGCUUCGAGACAUUUUAGGAAACACAACAGUUGUUGAGGAGAACCAAAGUACCACGGACAAAGUUGUUGUCGUCUACAAUGCUUGCCUGG